AAAAGAAUUGUUACUUAUAAAGGUGGUGUUUAAAUAAAUAUGCAUUUUAAUCAUCACAUAAUUAUGAUUAGUUAAUUAAACUAAGGAGUGGAAAGAGUAAGGUAAUUAAUUAGGGAGAGAGGAAGAUAUUUUAGUUUUGGGUGCAAUUAAUGCGAUCGAAAGGUUCUUGAGAAAAGCCAGAGAGGCUUAUAGAUCCAAU
rnacentral:lncRNA from 1 species